UAGCAAAAAAAAAAGUGUACAGGCUCAGGUUAACAGAAUUAAAGUAAUUUUACGUAAAAAAUAAUAUAAAUAUGGCAUAUGAUAUUUUUUUGUAGUUUUAUUGGAAAAUAUUUGAAAUUUUUGAUUAGUGUUAUUUUUGAUAGCUGAUAUCUUCGAAAGGGUUGAUCUGAGGAACUUUGAUCUUCAGACGUUUUUUGUAGAGCGUGAAAUUUCCUACAAAUCUUUUUUUUCAGAUUGUUGUUACGAUGAACCGUUCCAAAGUAAUAAAAAUUGAAAAAUAAAAAAUAAAUUUUCCCGUGUUAUUUAAAUGGAAAAUAAAGAAAUGGAUAGAGUCAAACCUUACUAUUGAUAUUAAGAGCUCAUAUUGUUGCCAAAAUUUUUGUUUUUAGGUCAACUAUCAAUUUUUAGACACCAUAAAAAAAAAAAAAAAUUCUAUUUUUU